rnacentral:rRNA from 1 species
GACGAACGCUGGCGGCGUGCCUAAUACAUGCAAGUCGAACGCAGUUGCGAACGGGUGAGUAACGCGUAGGUAACUGCCUCAUAGCAGGGGAUAACUAUUGGAAACGAUAGCUAAUACCGCCUACUGUGAGAUGGACCUGCGUUGUAUUAGGUAGUUGGUGAGGUAAAGGCUCACCAAGGCGACGAUACAUAGCCGACCUGAGAGGGUGAUCGGGCACACUUGGACCGGGACAAGGCCCCGAAUCCCACGGGAGGCAGCAGGUGGGAAUUUUCGGCAAUGGACCGAAGUCUUAACGAGGAACUCCGCCGUAGUGAAGAAGGUUUUCGGGUCGGAAAGCCCCUUUGUGAGAGAAGCGGUAACUAACCAGAAAGGGACGGCUAACUACGUGCCAGCCGCCGCGGUAAUAC